GACACAGUCUGUCAGUUCUGUGCUAUGCACGUAGGCAUGUGGACACAAUCUAGCUAUCGUGUUACUCUUAUUUUAUAAAGAACAAGGCUCGGGCAGGAUGACCCAGCUGGCCGCCCGGCUCAGCGCUGAGGCGGCAGGGCGCAGCCCAGAGCCCUCGCCUUGGACAGGCGGGAAUCCUCCUCACAGCGAACUGCUUGGAGCUCAGCACACCCGCCCCUCCCACUGGAGGGAGGGAGGCCAUCACCAGUCAGAGUGCCGGGGGCAGCCGCCCAUUCCUGCGUUUUAUCAAGUGCCCAGGUUUAAAACACUGCUCUUGUUCCCCCGUCUCUGGCAUCUGGAAAAGGAAGUGAGAGAGGAGCACAGAGCAUAAUCCAUCCUGAAGACUUGCAUCUUCACUCUCCUGUGGGAAACUUUGACGUGUGGAAGCUGCCAGGGCGUAGCUACAGCUGCAUUCUUCAGCAUCCCUGCUCGACACGUAAGGGUUGCUGCUGUUCCCAGUGCCCUGCCAGAUCAGUUUUGGUGGCUCAAAAUCAUGACGUUUGUGUGAUGGGCCUGGAAAAGAUGACACAGAACUGAGCAAAUGCCUUCUCUGGACUUCAGCUUCCCUCUUGAUACAAUGAGAAUGAAACUGCAAUUCACUUCACCAUCUCUGGAAAGGAAAACUGGGUGUAUAUGGAGGAUCCUCUUUCAUAGUAAA